rnacentral:rRNA from 3 species
UGUACACACCGCCCGUCACACCACGAGAGUUUGUAACACCCGAAGUCGGUGAGGUAACCUUUUGGAGCCAGCCGCCUAAGGUGGGAUAGAUGAUUGGGGUGAAGUCGUAACAAGGUAGCCGUAUCGGAAGGUGCGGCUGGAUCACCUCCUUU